UUCCUGGUGGCUUAGAUGAUAAAGAAUCUGCCUGCGAUGCAGGAGACCUGGGUUCGAUUCCUGGGUUGGGAA
rnacentral:tRNA from 1 species